GCAGUCGACGGCAGCACAGAGGAGCUGGCUCCUUGGGUGGAGAGUGGCAGACGUGUGAAGAGUACGUCGGACUCUACUUUUUCGUGGGGGAUAUCGUAGGGAAACUUACUCUAAUACCGCAAACUACCUACAGGUGAAAGCAGGAGAUCUUCGGAUCUUGCGCGAUUGAAUGACCCGAUGUCAGAUUAGCUAGUUGGCGGGGUAAAGGCCCACCAGCGAGACUAUCCGUAUCUGGUCUGAGAAGAUGAUCAGCCACACUGGAACUGAGACACGGUCCACACUCCUACGGGACGCAGCAGUGGAGAAUAUUGGACAAUGCGCGCACGCCUGAUCCACCCAUACCGCGUGUGUGAAGAACGCCUUCGGGUUGUAAAGCCCUUUUGUUGGGAAAGAACUCCAGCCGGCUAAUACCUGGUUGGGAUGACUGUACCCAAAAAAUAAGCACCGGCUAACUUCGUGCCAGCAGCCGCGGUAAUACAAAGGGUGCACGCGUUACUCAGAUUUACUGGGCGUAAAGCGUGCGUACGUGGUUGUUUAACUCUGUUGUGAACGCCCUGGGCUCAACCUGAGAACUGCAGUGGAUACUGGACUACUAGAGUGUGGUAGAGGGUAGCAGAAUUCGCGGUGUAGCAGUGAAAUGCGUAGUAUCGGGAAGAACAUCCAUGGCGAAGGCCGCUUCCUGGACCACAGUGACUCUGAGGCACGAAAGCGUGGGGAGCAAACAGGAUAUAUACCCUGGUACUCCACGCCCUAAACGAUGCCAACUGGAUGUUGCGCGCAAUUAGGCACGCACUAUCGAAACUCACUCAUUAUUUCGCCGCCGGGGGACUACGGUCGCAUGACAGACACUCGAAGUAAUUGACGGGCGCCCGCACAGCGGAGGAAGUAGGUGGAUUAAUUCGAUGCACGGGAACAUCCUUACUCGUCAUGACAUGUAAGUACUUUCAAAGAUUGAUGGCUCCUUCAGGAA
rnacentral:rRNA from 1 species